GAGCUACCAAAAUUUUGGGGAAAGAAUGAUCAUAAAUUUAGAAGUAAUUGAUUCCAUGAAUAUCAAUUUCCUUUUUAUGUUCAUAUAAAUUAUACGCCAACCUAUUUCUAAUGUUUUACUGAGAUUCGCACAUGUUUAUUCCAUUUGCAUGUGCAACUCAUGUGCCAAACAACUGGUUCUGGAAAAAUUACUGAGAGUUUAAAUAUAAAGCUAAUUACUCCCUCUCCUCUUUGCAGGUAAAGUCAACUAAAUCCUCUGUCUCUUAGCAAGUUUGGAGUGUUGAGUUUAUCCCUCAGCAAGUUGGAGAUUGGCUUGGUUGGAUGAGUAUU
rnacentral:lncRNA from 1 species